rnacentral:rRNA from 1 species
GAUAAACGCUGGCGGCGUGCCUAACACAUGCAAGUCGAACGCCCUUUUGCGCAAGUGAGAGGGAGUGGCGGACGGGUGAGUACCACGUGGGUACCUACCUUGAGGUGAGGAAUACCACCGAGAAAUCGGUGACAAGACCGCAUACGCUUGGCAACAAGCAAAGUCUCGCAAGAGACGCCACAAGAUGGGCCUGCGCCUGAUUAGCUAGUUGGUGAGGUAAUGGCUCACCAAGGCGACGAUCAGUAGCUGGUCUGAGAGGAUGAUCAGCCACACUGGGAUUGAGAACGGCCCAGACUCCGUACGGGGAGCAGCAGUGAGGAAUUUUCGUCAAGUGGGGCAACCCUGAACGAGCAACGCCGCGUGCAGGACGAC